rnacentral:rRNA from 1 species
UCAAGCGUGAUUACCCGCUGAACUUAAGCAUAU